rnacentral:tRNA from 1 species
GUUCCCUUCGUCUAGUGGUUAGGACAUCGCCCUUUCACGGUGGUAACAGGGGGUCGAGUUCCUUAGAAAACACCA